rnacentral:rRNA from 1 species
UACGUAGGGGGCAAGCGUUGUCCGGAUUCAUUGGGCGUAAAGAGCGUGUAGGCGGUUAGGUAGGUCCGUUGUGAAAACUCGAGGCUCAACCUCGAGACGCCGAUGGAAACCAUCUAACUAGAGUCCGGAAGAGGAGAGUGGAAUUCCUGGUGUAGCGGUGAAAUGCGCAGAUAUCAGGAAGAACACCCGUGGCUAAGGCAGCUCUCUGGGACGGUACUGACGCUGAGACGCGAAAGCGUGGGGAGCGAACAGG